CAGGCCUAACACAUGCAAGUCGAGCGAGAGGCACUUCAGUGCGAGUAGAGCGCCGGACGGGUGAGUAACACGUAGGAAUCUACCCAGUGGUGGGGGACAACUUGGGGAAACUCAAGCUAAUACCGCAUACGCCCUACGGCGGAAAGCGGGGGACCUUCGGGCCUCGCGCUAUGGGUGAGCCUGCGUUGGAUUAGCUUGUUGGUGGGGUAAAGGCCCACGCAAGGCGACGAUCCAUCGGUGGUGUGAGAGGAUGAUCAGCCACACUGGGACUGAGACAGGGCCCAGACUCCUACGGUGGGCGCAGUGGGGAAUAUUGCGCAAUGGGCGAAAGCCUGACGCAGCCAUGCCGCAUGUGUGAAAAAGGCCAUAAGGUUGUAAAUCAUUUUCAAUUGACAGGAAAAGUUGUACGUUAAUAAGUGCCCCCGUGACGUUACCUAUACAACAGCACCGGCUAACUCCGUGCCUUCAUCCGCGGUAAUACUGAGGGUGCAACCGUUAAUCGCAAUCACUGGGCGUAAAGGAAGCGUAGGCGGCUUGAUAAGUCAGAUGUGUAAUCCCCGGGCUCAACCUGAGAAUUGCAUUUGAUACUGUCUGGCUAGAGUAUGGUAAAGGGGGGUGGAAUUCCAGUGUACGGUGAAAUGCGUAGAUAUCUGGAGGAACAUCAGUGCGAAGGCGACCCCCUGGACCAAUACUGACGCUGAGGUGCCAUGGUGUGUCCUAGCCGACAAGAUUGUAUACCCUGCUACUCCACCCUUUAAACAAAUGUCGACUAGCCCUCAGUCUCAUUAUAAGACUCGCGUGGGGCAGCUACGCCAUAAGUUGACCGCCUGGG
rnacentral:rRNA from 1 species